CACGUAGGGUGCGAGCGUUGUCCGGAAUUAUUGGGCGUAAAGAGCUCGUAGGCGGUGUGUCACGUCGGCCGUGAAAACCUGCAGCUUAACUGUGGGCGUGCGGUCGAUACGGGCAUCACUGGAGUUCGGCAGGGGAGACUGGAAUUCCUGGUGUAGCGGUGAAAUGCGCAGAUAUCAGGAGGAACACCGGUGGCGAAGGCGGAUCUCUGGGCCAUUACUGACGCUGAGGAGCGAAAGCGUGGGGGAGCGAACAGG
rnacentral:rRNA from 1 species